UUAAUACCCUACCACGUGGAAGAGAAGUAUCACUCCUACUUUUGCUGUUACCUCUCCCCAUCCCAUCCCUGUCCACUAGCGCUUCAAAGGAUGCUGAAAGGCUGCUUCCUCUACCAUGGUCUUCAGGAUCUGUUUCCCUAAGUGAUGGUCAUUCCAGAUGUCUCCACUGUCCAGAGGACACACAUAUCCUGUCAAAGUACAAGAUCUGCAUCAGAUUCAGAAGCAGACAGAGGAAACUGAGGGAAGAUAAGGGGAGAUGAAGUGGACAAUCCAGGAACAUAGGAAUUGUUAUCCUGGAUCACACCAGUCAUUUAUCUAGUCCAGUAUCACAUCACCAGCAGUGGCCAAUAUCAGAUGCUUCAUAGGGAAGUGCAAGAAAUUCUGCAGUGGCAGUUAUGGGAAAACCUGCAUCCAGGAAAUGAUACAUUUGAAACCACAAAUAGAGGUUGGA